rnacentral:misc_RNA from 1 species
GUUACAGUUACUUAUAAAGGUACACUUAAAUGUGCUUUUACUGCUGGUAUUAUGUACGAAAAUACUAUUGUUAUAUUAUGCUAUUUUCAUAGUAAGUGAAAUAACUGCUUUUAUACAUUUGAGUUCAAUAUAAAAACGUUGUGUAACUCCAGAAUACAAUACCUAGACGUAAAAGAGGAGGAGAUCUUGCCAGGCGAAACGGCGGAAACAAAAAGAAUAUCGAAGAAAUGAAACGAAAGAAGAGCACGAAGCACGUUUACAAAAUCAACAAAUCAGAUAGAGCACCCUGAGAAGCAGAAAAAGCGAAGAAAGAAAAGAAAAUAAAAGUAUUGAAGAAUAAAUACAACGUAAUCUCAUACCAACUCCCGAGCGAAGCCGGGUAUCAUAGCUAGUUAUGUAUAUAUAAGAGAUUUCCACCUAUAUAUUGACUCAUCACGAUAUCUCUGGAGCCAUAAGGCGUAGAGACUUGAAAUUUGGUAGGAACGUUCCUUUCGCCGAGUAGAGGUCAGUUAAGAACGGAUUUUAAGAACUUCAACCCAAAACAGGGGUUGCUUUUCCUACAUGGAGAAAGAGGACUUUGCUCAGCA